rnacentral:rRNA from 1 species
UACAGAGGUCCCAAGCGUUGUUCGGAUUCACUGGGCGUAAAGGGUGCGUAGGUGGCCGGGUAAGUCUGAUGUGAAAUCUCCGAGCUCAACUCGGAAAUGGCAUUGGAAACUAUCCGGCUCGAGGAGUGGAGGGGGGACUGGAAUACUUGGUGUAGCAGUGAAAUGCGUAGAUAUCAAGUGGAACACCAGUGGCGAAGGCGAGUCCCUGGACACUUCCUGACACUGAGGCACGAAAGCUAGGGGAGCAAACAGG